rnacentral:rRNA from 1 species
AUUGAACGCUGGCGGCAGGCCUAACACAUGCAAGUCGAACGCGUGGCGGACGGGUGAGUAAUGUCUGGGAAACUGCCUGAUGGCGGGGGCUAACUACUGGAAACGGUAGCUAAUACCGCAUACCAUCAGAUGUUCCCAGAUGGGAUUAGCUAGUUGGUGGGGUAACGGCUCACCAAGGCGAAGAUCCCUAGCUGGUCUGAGAGGAGGACCAGCAACACUGGAAAUGAGACACGGUCCAGACUCCUACGGGGGGCAGCAGUGGGGAAAAUUGCGCAAUGGGCGAAAGCCUGAUGCAGCCAUGCCGCGUGUAUGAAGAAGGCCUUCGGGUUGUAAAGUACUUUCAGCGGGGAGGCGUUACCCGCAGAAGAAGCACCGGCUAACUACGUGCCAGCCGCCGCGGUAAUAC